rnacentral:lncRNA from 1 species
UAGUAUCCCUUACUGCUCCAAAAUGUUGAGCAGUUCCCAUCUGCCUAGGGGAUAAAUAAAAUAAUAUGGAAUAAAUUAAAAAAAAAAAAAAACAGGUAGAUUUCUCUUUUCUAAGCCUGUUUGCUUUUAUCUUCAGUCCCAUUAGGCCCCUUUGCAGAGCCUGCCCUCCUGGGAAAGCGUUUUUCUUACACUCCAAUGCUCUCUGCUUUUUGGAACCUGGUUCUUCGCUUCUGCUGAAAUGUGUUCCUCCCUGAAAACUCUCCUUGAAUGCUAUUCAUCCUUGAAGGGUGUCUAACUCCAGCGCAUGUGCCCAACCGCUAGUGAUGCCCAACCGCUAGUGAUGCCCAACCGCCCGCCAGUGAUCCUUAAGGGUGUCUAAGAUCAGCGCAUGCGCCAAACUUCAAGCGACGUUUGAGGAGUCUUUUGAAGGAUGAAAAGGAAGAAAAAAAGUAAAAGCUCUGUUGACAGUUAAAAGCAGACAUCUGUUCUCUUUACCAAGACCCUCAGAGACCUGUCAGAGUGGACAAAGGCCUCUGGAGCCCUUCCCAAGAACCUUCUUGCUUGGAAGAUUAGCAGUUUCUUCUCAAGCAUCGCUCUCAACUUGCUAAACACCUUGAAAAUAGUUCCAGCAAGACGUGUCUCCCUCAGAUCCCAGGGCAGGUAAGUGCUUGUGCGCGUCCAGCGCUUCUGCUCGUAGCCAUGUGGUCCUGACCAUCUGGCACUUA